rnacentral:rRNA from 1 species
AACGAACGCUGGCGGCAUGCCUAACACAUGCAAGUCGAACGGGAUCCUAGCUUGCUAGGUGAGAGUGGCGGACGGGUGAGUAACACGUGGGAAUCUGCCUUUUGGUUCGGGAUAACCGCGGGAAACUGCGGCUAAUACCGAAUGCCCUCGAGAGAGGAAAGAUUUAUCGCCAGAAGAGGAGCCCGCGUCCGAUUAGGUAGUUGGUGGGGUAAAGGCCUACCAAGCCGACGAUCGGUAGCUGGUCUGAGAGGAUGAUCAGCCACACUGGGACUGAGAUACGGCCCAGACUCCUACGGGAGGCAGCAGUGGGAAUAUGGAC